GUAGCAUAAUCAUUAGUUUCUUAAUUAGGAACUCGUAUGAAUGGUUGAACAAAAGAAGAGCUGUCUCUAACAUAAAAAUAGAAUUUAACUUUUAAGUGAAAAGGCUUAAAUUAUUCAAGGGGACGAUAAGACCCUAUAAAGCUUUAUAUUUUAACUAUAAUUUAAUUAAAAUAACAGGCUAAAGGUUUUAAUAAGUUAUUAUAUUUUAUUGGGGAGGUAUAAGUAUAAUUUAUAUAACUGCUUAUAAGUUAAUACACUAAUAAUUGAUUGAGGUUUUGAGGAUCCUUUAUAAUAAAGAUUCAAGGCUAAGUUACUUUAGGGAUAACAGCGUUAUUUUUUUUGAGAGUUCCUAUCGAAAAGAAAGUUUGCGACCUCGAUGUUGAAUUAAAAUUAUCUUUAUAGUGCAGCCGCUAUAGAAGAGGGUCUGUUCGACCUUUAAAUUUUU
rnacentral:rRNA from 1 species